UUCUGAGUUUAGGGUCAGGGGUGAAGACAGAUGAGACAUGCAUGUCUAGCUGUUUGUGAAUGCUGACACAAAUCCUUACCCUGAUCAGGAUAAAACAGCGAGACAUGAAUCCAUAUCCCGUCUUCGUCUUCUGCCUUCGUUCACAACGAAUAUUUUGGCAAAAUUCGUUGUGAACUUCGUUCUGCACGAAGGCAGAAGGACAAAAACGGUAUAUAGUUUCAUGUCUCGCUGGGUUUUUUUCUGGAUCAGGGCAAGAAUUAUGGUCAGUAUUCAUAAACAGCGACACAUGGGAAGACACGUUGUGCAAACACCAGUGACGUCCAACUCAGUAUGCGCAAGAUAAUGUACAGGCGGCAAAUAUUGUCAAGUAUGCCUUCGUCUUCGUACUUCGUU